UGACUGCUGGUGGGGAAGGAGGUGUGUUGCUAAUGCCUGAGGGAGGAUUGCCUACAUGCCAAGAUAUGGAGAUCAGACAGUCAGAAAUGGACCCUGACACACCAUCUUAGGACAUCAUGGAAACUGGAGAAUCCCAGAGAUGGAGAACCCCAGAGGCUUGGAUAGGAAGUGAUGCAGGGAAGUUUUGUGGGGAAAUGGUUACAGAACCGGACUAAGGCUUGGAGACUUCUAAACAAACAGGACAGCACAACUCCUACCAAGCUCUUCUUCAUCAAAACAUUUGUAUCCAGCUCACUGGAGAAAGCUAUGAGAGAGGAGUGACAAACUGAUGAUAUCUGAGCAAACCUCAUAAUGAAAAAGCCAGUGACCUUUGCAGAUGCUACUUUUCAGCUAGACAAAAUCUUGAAGAAACCUAUUUGUCUGUUUACAUUAACAGGACUUAUUGUUUUGCAUCAUUGUAAAGGAAUAAAUCCCAUAACAAAUGUCAUUGUAUCCAGGUACUGACACAUUUAUAAAAUAGGGUUCUUUUAAUAGGACUCUGCAAAUUUUUUCAUUGACUUUUACUUUAUCACUUUUUUUAAUUAAAAAGGAUGGGUUAAAUAAAAAAAAGCAUUGCCUAUUCCUCUUGACUGACAUCUUCUGUUAGCUACUGUAUCACAAUCGGCAGAAAUGGAGUCAGAUGGCCCAUAUUCCCUAGAGGGACUAUUACUGAGGGGACACCAGUGGAAAAGGAAACAUGGGGAGUUAGG